rnacentral:rRNA from 1 species
GACGAACGCUGGCGGCGUGCUUAACACAUGCAAGUCGAACGGAAAGGCCCUGCUUUUGUGGGGUGCUCGAGGGGCGAACGGGUGAGGAACACGUGAGUAACCUGCCCUUGACUAUGGGAUAACUUCAGGAAACUGGGGCUAAUACCGGGUAGGAUCUCCUGCUGCAUGGGGGAGGGUGGAAAGUUUCGGCGGUUGGGGAUGGACUCGCGGCUUAUCAGCUUGUUGGUGGGGUAGUGGCUUACCAGGGCUUUGACGGGUAGCCGGCCUGAGAGGGUGACCGGCCACAUUGGGACUGAGAUACGGCCCAGACGCCUACGGGAGGAAGCAGUGGGGAAUAUUGCACAAUGGGCGGAAGCCUGAUGCAGCAACUCCGCGUGCGGGAUGACGUCCUUCGGGUUGUAAACCGCUUUCGCCUGUGACGAAGCGUGAGUGACGGUAAUGGGUAAAGAAGCACCGGCUAACUACGUG